UGCGUAGGCGGAUUUUUAAGUCAGUGGUGAAAGCCCGGAGCUCAACUCCGGAACUGCCAUUGAUACUAUUAAUCUUGAAUACAGUUGAGGUGGGCGGAAUGUGUAGUGUAGCGGUGAAAUGCUUAGAUAUUACACAGAACACCGAUUGCGAAGGCAGCUCGCUAAACUGUUAUUGACGCUGAGGAACGAAAGCGUGGGGAGCGAACAGGAUUAAAUACCAUGGUAGUCC
rnacentral:rRNA from 1 species